CAAUAGCGUAUAUUAAAGUUGUUGCAGUUAAAAAGCUCGUAGUUGGAUUUCUGGUGGGAGCGAUCGGUCUGGCGCUUAGCGCGAGUACUUGCAUCGUCUCCGGCCAUCCUUGGGGAGAGUCUGUCUGGCAUUAGGUUGUCGGGCAGAGGAUCCUCAUCGUUUACUGUGAAAAAAUUAGAGUGUUCAAAGCAGGCUUAUGCCGUUGAAUAUAUUAGCAUGGAAUAAUAAGAUAGGACUUUGGUACUAUUUUGUUGGUUUGCGCACCAAAGUAAUGAUUAAUAGGGACAGUUGGGGGUAUUCGUAUUCCGUUGUCAGAGGUGAAAUUCUUAGAUUUACGGAAGACGAACUACUGCGAAAGCAUUUACCAAGGAUGUUUUCAUUAA
rnacentral:rRNA from 1 species